rnacentral:rRNA from 1 species
UUAAGUUAUUAAGGGCGCACGGUGGAUGCCUUGGCACUAGAAGCCGAUGAAGGACGUUACUAACGACGAUAUGCUUUGGGGAGCUGUAAGUAAGCUUUGAUCCAGAGAUUUCCGAAUGGGGAAACCCAGCAUGAGUUAUGUCAUGUUAUCGAUAUGUGAAUACAUAGCAUAUCAGAAGGCACACCCGGAGAACUGAAACAUCUUAGUACCCGGAGGAAGAGAAAGAAAAUUCGAUUCCCUUAGUAGCGGCGAGCGAAACGGGAAGAGCCCAAACCAACAAGCUUGCUUGUUGGGGUUGUAGGACACUCUGUACGGAGUUACAAAGGACGACAUUAGACGAAUCAUCUGGAAAGAUGAAUCAAAGAAGGUAAUAAUCCUGUAGUCGAAAAUGUUGUCUCUCUUGAGUGGAUCCUGAGUACGACGGAGCACGUGAAAUUCCGUCGGAAUCUGGGAGGACCAUCUCCUAAGGCUAAAUACUCUCUAGUGACCGAUAGUGAACCAGUACCGUGAGGGAAAGGUGAAAAGCACCCCGGAAGGGGAGUGAAAUAGAACCUGAAACCGUGUGCUUACAAGUAGUCAGAGCCCGUUAAUGGGUGAUGGCGUGCCUUUUGUAGAAUGAACCGGCGAGUUACGAUUUGAUGCAAGGUUAAGCAGUAAAUGUGGAGCCGUAGCGAAAGCGAGUCUGAAUAGGGCAUUUAGUAUUUGGUCGUAGACCCGAAACCAGGUGAUCUACCCUUGGUCAGGUUGAAGUUCAGGUAACACUGAAUGGAGGACCGAACCGACUUACGUUGAAAAGUGAGCGGAUGAACUGAGGGUAGCGGAGAAAUUCCAAUCGAACCUGGAGAUAGCUGGUUCUCUCCGAAAUAGCUUUAGGGCUAGCCUCAAGUGAUGAUUAUUGGAGGUAGAGCACUGUUUGGACGAGGGGCCCCUCUCGGGUUACCGAAUUCAGACAAACUCCGAAUGCCAAUUAAUUUAACUUGGGAGUCAGAACAUGGGUGAUAAGGUCCGUGUUCGAAAGGGAAACAGCCCAAACCAACAAGCUUGCUUGUUGGGGUUGUAGGACACUCUAUACGGAGUUACAAAGGACGACAUUAGACGAAUCAUCUGGAAAGAUGAAUCAAAGAAGGUAAUAAUCCUGUAGUCGAAAAUGUUGUCUCUCUUGAGUGGAUCCUGAGUACGACGGAGCACGUGAAAUUCCGUCGGAAUCUGGGAGGACCAUCUCCUAAGGCUAAAUACUCUCUAGUGACCGAUAGUGAACCAGUACCGUGAGGGAAAGGUGAAAAGCACCCCGGAAGGGGAGUGAAAUAGAACCUGAAACCGUGUGCUUACAAGUAGUCAGAGCCCGUUAAUGGGUGAUGGCGUGCCUUUUGUAGAAUGAACCGGCGAGUUACGAUUUGAUGCAAGGUUAAGCAGUAAAUGUGGAGCCGUAGCGAAAGCGAGUCUGAAUAGGGCGUUUAGUAUUUGGUCGUAGACCCGAAACCAGGUGAUCUACCCUUGGUCAGGUUGAAGUUCAGGUAACACUGAAUGGAGGACCGAACCGACUUACGUUGAAAAGUGAGCGGAUGAACUGAGGGUAGCGGAGAAAUUCCAAUCGAACCUGGAGAUAGCUGGUUCUCUCCGAAAUAGCUUUAGGGCUAGCCUCAAGUGAUGAUUAUUGGAGGUAGAGCACUGUUUGGACGAGGGGCCCCUCUCGGGUUACCGAAUUCAGACAAACUCCGAAUGCCAAUUAAUUUAACUUGGGAGUCAGAACAUGGGUGAUAAGGUCCGUGUUCGAAAGGGAAACAGCCCAGACCACCAGCUAAGGUCCCAAAAUAUAUGUUAAGUGGAAAAGGAUGUGGCGUUGCCCAGACAACUAGGAUGUUGGCUUAGAAGCAGCCAUCAUUUAAAGAGUGCGUAAUAGCUCACUAGUCGAGUGACACUGCGCCGAAAAUGUACCGGGGCUAAACAUAUUACCGAAGCUGUGGAUUGUCCUUUGGACAAUGGUAGGAGAGCGUUCUAAGGGCGUUGAAGCAUGAUCGUAAGGACAUGUGGAGCGCUUAGAAGUGAGAAUGCCGGUGUGAGUAGCGAAAGACGGGUGAGAAUCCCGUCCACCGAUUGACUAAGGUUUCCAGAGGAAGGCUCGUCCGCUCUGGGUUAGUCGGGUCCUAAGCUGAGGCCGACAGGCGUAGGCGAUGGAUAACAGGUUGAUAUUCCUGUACCACCUAUAAUCGUUUUAAUCGAUGGGGGGACGCAGUAGGAUAGGCGAAGCGUGCGAUUGGAUUGCACGUCUAAGCAGUAAGGCUGAGUAUUAGGCAAAUCCGGUACUCGUUAAGGCUGAGCUGUGAUGGGGAGAAGACAUUGAGUCUUCGAGUCGUUGAUUUCACACUGCCGAGAAAAGCCUCUAGAUAGAAAAUAGGUGCCCGUACCGCAAACCGACACAGGUAGUCAAGAUGAGAAUUCUAAGGUGAGCGAGCGAACUCUCGUUAAGGAACUCGGCAAAAUGACCCCGUAACUUCGGGAG